rnacentral:lncRNA from 1 species
GGAGAUCUGGCAGCUGCUGGGUCAGGCAGAGGUACAAUACCUGCUGCCCCCCUACAAAGUUACUCCACAGCCACUUCACACCCUCCUCAAGCCUGGAGCUUCCUCCUUCUCCUCUGAACCUCGGCAGCAUUCACGGUCUAAAUCACUCCACUUAACACUGAAUUUUUUACAGUUUUGUAUUGCAUGAUAUUUAUAUCAGUCAGACUGUGGUCAGGAAAACAGAAGUCAGUAUAUUUUGGCAUAUGGAGGUUUUUAAUGUGAGAAAUUAGAAGUUUAUGUAAGUUUUUCAAAAGUCUCUCAGCACGCAGCACGGAAGUGAGUGGCUUUAAAGAGCUCAUCUAGUUGCUGGCUGGCCUCUCAACGCUCUCUCGGCGGUUCCCUGAGACCAUCUCAGCCAGCAGGACUGGUGUUGAUGAUUCUCAAGAAGCUCAUCUGGAAGCUGCUUUGAAAUUCAUAUCCGCCCACGACUGCAUCCAAAAAUUAUGGCGUCUCCUUCACUUCCUCCUUCCAAAUCUCGUAAUGACAAUCAUCUUUGGCAGAAAACUACACACCUCCGGCUAUUUAGACUGCAAAGUCCAUGAAGGCAAGCAGAGCAUCUCUUGUGUUCGUGACUGGAUUCCAGCACUAGAAUAAUGGCUGACAAAAAGCAUCCGCUAAUCAAUUUUGAUGGAAUGUGUGGCUUGUAUUCAUCUGACUUGAUUGCAAAUUCGGAAAGAAAUUUUCCUUCUCUGC